rnacentral:rRNA from 1 species
ACACUCCUACGGGAGGCAGCAGUGGGGAAUAUUGGACAAUGGGCGCAAGCCUGAUCCAGCCAUGCCGCGUGAGUGAUGAAGGCCCUAGGGUUGUAAAGCUCUUUCACCGGUGAAGAUAAUGACGGUAACCGGAGAAGAAGCCCCGGCUAACUUCGUGCCAGCAGCCGCGGUAAUACGAAGGGGGCUAGCGUUGUUCGGAUUUACUGGGCGUAAAGCGCACGUAGGCGGACUAUUAAGUCAGGGGUGAAAUCCCGGGGCUCAACCCCGGAACUGCCUUUGAUACUGGUAGUCUUGAGUUCGAAAGAGGUGAGUGGAAUUCCGAGUGUAGAGGUGAAAUUCGUAGAUAUUCGGAGGAACACCAGUGGCGAAGGCGGCUCACUGGCUCGAUACUGACGCUGAGGUGCGAAAGCGUGGGGAGCAAACAGGAUUAGAAACCCCUGUAGUCCCAUGA